AAGAUGGCAGUUACCACCUACUGUACAACAAUCUAAUAAUCCCUACCUUAGUUCCCCUGAGUUAUAGAAGAUGCUAAACAUUUAGUUGUAAAGGGAAGUAACAUGAUUUUUUUUUUCUAAAAAGCUGUUUUAAGCUAACUGUUAUUUUGCUACUGGAAAAUUAUAUUUUAAAACUUAAAGAUAUUUAAAGUAUGCUAGAAAAUUUGAACCUGAUAACAACUGAACCUUUUGUCUUGAAUAAAUUUCUCAAAUAGAACUGUGCAAACCCUAGCACUUUAUGUGUUGCUGCCUCCCCAUACCUAGGUAUGCUCUGUAAUAAGCUCCCAUUUAAUGGAGAGAUGUGUGGAGGCACUGGGAAGUUAAUGAAGAAGAAAAAUCAACCCCAAGAAUUCCUUAUUGUCACAUAGUGUCUUUUAAAAAAUAACUAUAGAGACUGUGUUAAUUCGAGUGCCUUUCUUACUUUUUUGGGAGCAAGAUUAUAUUUAAUGUUUAAGAAAACAGGAUGGAAGUUUUAUCAAACAGUUGAUUGUGGCCCAUUGUUUUAUUUAUUCCCAUCGCUAGGCAUGGCCCCAUAGGGUAUUUUAUCCUUCAGUGAGAGACUGAUAUAAGCAGGCAGGAUGCUUUGAUUAUUCCAUUAGUUAUCAUUUUAAGCACCCUACCAAGAUUUAGUUCUUUCUUUCUGGCAACUAACGUUUUGGGUGUUGGAGGCAUCCCAUUUAGAGGAUGGUGUGUGCACAAAUAGAUUAGCCUGAAACCUGCGUCCAAAGGGAAACAGUGGCACUCUGCCCUAAAAUAAAGGCCAGAACAUUGUCCUAAAUGAAUCCUUUGCCUUACUUUAGGACCUUCCUUCCCUCUCAAAUUCAGGCAUAAUGUAAUAUAGUUGAAAGGGGGAAAACAGUACUUGCUUUCUUUCAGAUAUUGGAGGAAAAGAAGUAAAUGCAUAGAUGAAAUGUUAAAUGUAUCAUUUUAUCUGUUUGUAUAUGGAGAAGGGAGGGAUAGGAAUUCCAUAUUUCAAGAUAGCAAAUAUAAUUUCAUAGAAAUAUAUAGCUAAAGAUUCCAAAGUGCUUUUACAGAGAACUGUUGAAUAAUAUAUUCCUAAAGGGCAGCAAUAUGCCAUGUUCAUGGUGAAGACAGAAAACCAAUGUAUCAGUUGUGGAUCUCAGGUGGGAGAGGAAACCUCAGGCUCCCAACUUUGACUUCUCUACUCUCACCAGGCCAUGUUAACACUGUAAAACCAAACUCUUUGCUAAGAACAAUACAGGGCAGUAGUUUACUCUGCUGAUGAAACCUUGUGCUUCCAAGAAUAUUAGCUAUAUAUAAUUUGUGCUUUCUGGACAAUAGAAUCGUCCAGAAAGGUAACCCUGACAUUACUUCUAUUAGUCUGUUGUUAUUCCUCAGGGUGUAGAAGAUUUAGUAAAUUUAGGACAAAUUUUAUAUUCAGUGGCAAAAAGAAAAGGCAAAAAUAUGCUAAAUAUAUUAUUAGCUCUUAAAUUUUAGUAUAGAUCGUAUUUUUUAUAAACUAUCACAAGUACAGUAGCUAGUAGAUAUUCUGUGACUGCCUCAUUGUUUAUCUUGCUGCUUUGGUCCCUAUGGCUCUAGUAUGAACAUUCUUGUGUCUUCUGUGGAAAUGAUUUCUGUGUUAUAGUUCCAUCUUUGGUAGAGGUGGGGAUGAUUGUAUUUUGUUUUAGUUGACAUCAUUCUCAACUUUUAGAAAUACUGUUGAGGAAAAUGAUUACCGUUGGUUUUCAAAUUGACAACUAUUUUGCUUCCAAAGACUUCAGUUUCCCUUUGUUUUAUGUGUAGACCUCAUAUAUGUUCAACACAUUGCAUACUGCCUUGCACAUUGUAGGAAUUCAACAAGUCGGAGUUGAUAAAAGCUUAGAAAGAUAAAGCUAGCUUAGCUAUCUUAUCAUCAUUGUCCAUAUUCUUAGCUUUGGGAAAAAUAUACCAUUUUGCAUAAAAUACAUAAUCAGUUUCAAAUGCAUACGGCAAAGAUAUACAGUUGCACAACAUUGCAAGUGAAAUUUACAAAGGAUUUUUAUUUUUGUGUAUGCUAAAAGUACUCCUACUUAAAGCAGUUUUCUUUAUUAGUCCAACACCUUCCAGCAAAGUUAGAAACCUAACACAAGUGCUCAUUUGCCCAAAUUAACCAGAUAGUUAUGUAAACUGUUCAUAUUAAGUCUUUAGUGGUUUACAAACAAUAACAUUCUGGCUUUUCUUCCAUACCUUUAAGGAAUCAGCCUUAAUUUUACGUAUGGCAGUCACUUUCCUCAAGGUACUAUGCAGCAUACUUUAGAUUGCUUAUUUAUCAUUAUAAGGUGAUAGGUAAUAAAUUUGAGGUUUAUUUGUCAUAUAAUUUCAUAUGUCCAGAUAUUGAUUCAAAGAACAUUCUAUUAGAAAAAGUUUAUAAAUUAUCCUCCCUUACAAAUACCAUCUUGCAUUUGGAGCAGGUAUUUUUUUCUUAUUAGUUAAAGACUGGGUACAGUUAUAGUAGAUGCUCAAUAAAUGUUUAGUCAGUGAUUGAUCUAACAUCAAACUAACAGCUUUCAGAAAGGAGACUGUUGACAUCUUUUCACCAAGGAGUAUAUUUGUAGAGUAAUAUAUGUGUGGAAUUUUGAAAUUAUAUCAUUUGACAUGAUUUAUGAGGCUUAUUUAGGCUGGAGUUAGUAACAUGUAAUAGAAGUAUUAUUUAUACAGAACAUAGUUGAAAGAUAGGAGACGUGAAAGUUUAAGUAGUAUUUUCUUGUGCAAGGCAUAUUAAUAAACGUAAUUAAAUGUCUUAAUAAGCAGCUGGCUGAACUCUAGAGAGAACUACUGUAGUCUUCUGCAAUCAGUCUCUGUAUUGGUAUAUCCAGUACUAUCGGGUUUAGGUUCUUUUUAUUUUUCCUUAAAUCUUACUUGUUUCUAGCAUCUUAAGAGUGGUAAUGGUAAAAUGUGAAGUUACAAUAAACUUCUGCUUGUUUUCUCAGAACGUCUUUGGCAUGAGGGAGAACUUUUUGUGAAUGAUACAGUAGUUUCAGCAUCUGUUAAUUUGUGGUUUUCAAAGCAUUUUUGACAGAGUUUACCUAAUGUAAAAAGAUUAAACAGUUUUAUAAAACACAAAUAAACAUUCCUACCUGAACUGUGAGGAACAGAGUGUAUAGUACAAAUGUAAUUAGGCAUUGCCUCCUGGCGAGGUUCUUGAUGCAUGACUAUGAUGCUGGCUGCUGACUGAGGUGACCACUGUCAGUGUUGUAUUUUGGCGUAUGUUGUUUUUAGGAAAAUAAUGGAAUGCAUUCUUAGAUUAACUUACUGUUUUUGAGUUGGAAAAAAUAAAAGAUGAGGUAUUAUAAGUAUGCCAAAUAUUUCUACACUACAAAAGAUUAAAAAAGGAGAGGGAGAAAAAAAAUCAAAGGCCAGUUAUGAUUUUAAUAGCAUCUAAUUUUUUUUUUGACCGAAUUUUUUGGACACUAGUCAAUUGCAUAAUUUAACAUGGAGGAGCUUUCAUUUAAAAGAAGUUCUCAGCUACUAUAUUCUGCCAUUAGAAUUCACCAUGCCUGUUAAUUUUACAUUGCUUGAAGAUAUAAGUAAGCUGCCAUCAAUAUUGUUUUAAGAUUUUCUUAUAGUUUAUGUUUAAAUGGAAAAGUUAUGUAUAUGAUCUGUGGUGCAGGGUCAGGCCUUGGCCAUUAAAGAUAAGUUUGGCUAACUUAUUUUACUGAAGAGACUAAUGGUCUUCCCUCUGUUGCACUAUGUUUCUUGAUCUAUUUUUCCCCAGUGUAACAGUCUACAUUGAAGUCCUUUAGCUCUCUCCAUAUACUAAUUGACAUUUGUUAAGGAUUCAAUAUGUUGUUAAUUCUUUUUACCCUUAAAAUGCAUAUCUUUCAGAGAGAUAAUGAAUUUUGCAAUAAUUUAUAUGCAGAGUGUGCUUAUGGGUUUCUGGGAGUUCAAGUUAGUACCCCAGAGUGCUUAAAAGUAUGAUGCUAAAUUGUAAGGCUAAUGUAAUGACUAUAGAUUAUCUAUAUCCACAUUGUUCAAUAGAAAUAUAAUGUGAACCACAACAUAAUUUUUAAUUUGCUAGUAGCCGUAUUAAAAAAGAAACAAGCGAAAUUAAUUUUAAUAACAUUUUAUGUAACCCAGUAUAUUAAAAAUAUUUCAACAUGUAAUCAAUAUAAAAGAUUAUUAAUGAAACACCUUAUCUUCUUUUUCUUCCAUACUAAGUCUUAGAUUUGAGUGUAUUUUGCACUCACAGCACAUCUCAAUUCUGACUGGCCACAUUUUAAGUGCUCAAUAGUCACAUAUGGCUAAGGGCUACUAUACUGGACAGUACAGAUUCAUAGAGUACAAAGUAUGACUUUAUUUUAACUUUGGAGAUGGUGAGGUAGGCGUGUAAUUAUGGUACUUUAAAAAUUCAGAAUAUUUAGAAAAGCAUCUAAUAGAAUUAUCCAUUUGUUUUCCUUCAUCUUCAUUUUAAUAUGUUCUAGAAGUAGGAUUAACCUGUUCCAAUUUGCCAAGCAUUAUUAAGGAGGAAUAAUUCCAUACCAUGUAAAAUACCAUGAUAUGCUGAUUAUAAUACAUUAUUAACAAAUUUUUAAGUUGCGUUCACUAAAUUCUGUCCUGUUUCUUCAAAAUAAUAUAGCUUAAAUUGCAUGUUAAUUGUAUAUCUUACCUAUUUUGUUUUUAUAUUAUUCUUACAAUGUAAUCAUGUAUAUUAACAAACAGCCCUGGGAUUCUAAUCUUCCUCUGCAACUGUCUUCCAGGACUUACUGGCACUUAUUACACUGUGAUAAGUGGCAGAAAAGUAGAAUGAAAUAUUCUUUUUCCAUUAGAUUUGUUCUUAUGUGACCAUGUACCAAGCCAGCUAUAAAGUAUUGUAUUUCUGUAGAAUAUGGAAAAUAGUAUUUGUCUUACCUUUGCUAAAUGUUCGCAAUUUCUAAGUAAACCUUUCAUC
ensembl:lncRNA